rnacentral:rRNA from 2 species
UUUAAAAUGAGAGUUUGAUCCUGGCUCAGGACGAACGCUGGCGGCGUGCCUAAUACAUGCAAGUCGAACGAAACUUUCUUACACCGAAUGCUUGCAUUCAUCGUAAGAAGUUGAGUGGCGGACGGGUGAGUAACACGUGGGUAACCUGCCUAAAAGAAGGGGAUAACACUUGGAAACAGGUGCUAAUACCGUAUGUCUCUAAGGAUCGCAUGACCCUUAGAUGAAAGAUGGUUCUGCUAUCGCUUUUAGAUGGACCCGCGGCGUAUUAACUAGUUGGUGGGGUAACGGCCUACCAAGGUGAUGAUACGUAGCCGAACUGAGAGGUUGAUCGGC